AUAUUGCACAAUGGGGGAAACCCUGAUGCAGCGACGCCGCGUGAGCGAAGAAGUAUUUCGGUAUGUAAAGCUCUAUCAGCAGGGAAGAAGAAAGUGACGGUACCUGACUAAGAAGCUCCGGCUAAAUACGUGCCAGCAGCCGCGGUAAUACGUAUGGAGCAAGCGUUAUCCGGAUUUACGGGGUGUAAAGGGAGCGUAGGCGGUGCUAUAAGUCUGAUGUGAAAGCCCGGGGCUCAACCGCGGGACUGCAUUGGAAACUGUAGGACUGGAGUGUCGGAGGGGUAAGUGGAAUUCCUAGUGUAGCGGUGAAAUGCGUAGAUAUUAGGAGGAACACCGGUGGCGAAGGCGGCUUACUGGACGACAACUGACGCUGAGGCUCGAAAGCGUGGGGAGCAAACAG
rnacentral:rRNA from 1 species